rnacentral:rRNA from 1 species
UGGUAGGAUAGAGGCUACAUGGUGUCAACGGGUAACGGGGAAUAAGGGUUCGAUUCCGGAGAGGGAGCCUGAGAAACGGCUUACAAUCCAAGGAAGGCAGCAGGCGCGCAAAUUACCCAAUCCCGACACGGGGAGGUAGUGACAAUAAAUAACAAUAUAGGGCUCUUUUGGGUCUUAUACUUGGCAUGAGUACAAUUUAACUCUCUUAACGAGGAACAAUUGGAGGGCAAGUCUAGGUGCCAGCAGCCGGGUAAUUCCAGCUCCAAUAGCGUAUAUUACAGUUGUUGCAGUUAAAUAGCUCGUAGUUGAAUCUUGGGGCUGGUUAUGGGGUCGCGUCUUUGACGUGUAACUUGUCGGCGGGUCUUAUUACUUCGUGGGGAAACCGUAUGUAGCCCUUAUGCAGGGGUGUGUACGGGAACCAUGGUGUAACUUUGAAAAAAUUAGAGUGUAUAAAAGCGGGCGUAAA